AACACUGAAUGCCAUCAUGACGACGUUAGCUCCUCUGUUUCAACUUUUCCGUGCCUUCACGACAAUACUUUAAUGAAUGGAAUUAAAGCCUGUGCAGAGAAAGGUAACUGAAUUUGCUGCGUCUCGGGUUCGAGUCUCACUCACUCAAAUAUAAAUGUCGUUGUAGCAGUCUGUAAAAGCCAAAAGCUCAAGGAAAAUGGGAUCCCGCGUCAGCACAUAUGUUAUCCUGUGGGUUAAUCUCUUUACUCUGCUAGUGUCGAUAGGCGUGUUAGGAUACGGGACGUGGUUAGGUGCCAGACAUAGCGACGAUUGCAACAAGUUCCUCAGCGCGCCCGUUCUUGUCAUCGGAGCUUCCGUUUUUCUCAUAUCAUUGAUUGGAUUUGUAGGAGCUCUGAAAAACGUCCCGAUACUGUUAUGGAUCUAUCUUAUACUUAUGUUUUUGCUCCUAGCGGCGAUUGCGGCAUUUACAGUAUUUGCGUUCAUCAUAACAAACAACGGUGCUGGUCAUACAGUUUCUGGCCAAAGAUAUAAAGAAUAUCGUCUUGAAGACUAUUCACAGUGGUUUCAAAAGCAACUAAAUAAUACCAGUAACUGGAAACAUUUGAAGAGCUGUUUAGUAAAACCUGACUACUGUAACAAGUUGAUCAAAGAAUAUAAGACUCUUAAGCAAUAUAAAAGGGCCAAAUUAAGUCCAAUAGAAGCUGGUUGCUGCAGACCACCUUCUGAGUGUGGUUAUCCAGCCAAAAAUGCGUCCUAUUAUGAUUUAAGCUUUAACCCUGUCAGUUCAAACAAGGAUUGCAAACGGUACAAAAAUAAGCGAUCGGUCAAGUGUUACAACUGCAAUUCUUGCAAGGCUGGAGUAGCACAAUAUUUGAAGAGGGAAUGGAAGGUUGCUGCAAUAUUCAAUGUCAUUGCUUUUGCCGUGCUGGUUCUUCUCUACUGUGUUGGAUGCUAUGCCAGGCGAAAUGCUUCCAGAUCUCAUAACUCUAAAUUCUGAAAGAUCUUCAGGAGAUGGCUGUUUCUUUUUUUGAUGUUAGGCAGAGGGCCGAGAGUUUUUUUGUCAGGCUUCAGUAAUUCGUGUGUGCCAGAUCUCUAAUUCGCAUGUGAAGGCUACAUUUGCUUGGAUGGCUUUUGGUACUCUUGGUCAUUUACAUUCUGCAGAUCCUGGGAGGGUCUCCGUAGCAACAAAGUGUUCUUUGCAUCUGUGAUCAUAACACCUGCAGUGUUUUCUGUAGGGUAUUGAUUACGAUGACCAUUAGGGAGGGUGUUAAAAUAAUAUUAAUAUCUUCUAUAAUGGUCAUCUUCUAUUUUUAGUGGUCAUAUUCUAUUUUAAGUUGUUGACUUAUUUAGCUUGUUAAGUUAGCUUUUUAUUAUGUAAUUAUCUUUUAAGCUUUAUUUAGCUUUCACACUUAAUUUAGUGUUUAGCUCUUUAAUCUUUUACUUUAUCGUUAUGUUCUAAUUAUAGAACAUCGUCUUGUAACCUCUAUAUAUAGGUGCGUAUAUCGUUCAAUGUAAUCAUCCGAUUAUUGAAUCAUUCAUUCAAUUUAAUUUUCAA